CCUAGCCAACGAUGGAUAGGGGUUCUGAGAGGAAGGUCCCCCACAUUGGAACUGAGACACGGUCCAAACUCCUACGGGAGGCAGCAGUGAGGAAUAUUGGUCAAUGGACGAGAGUCUGAACCAGCCAAGUAGCGUGAAGGAUGAAGGUCCUACGGAUUGUAAACUUCUUUUAUAAGGGAAUAAACCCUCCCACGUGUGGGAGCUUGUAUGUACCUUAUGAAUAAGCAUCGGCUAACUCCGUGCCAGCAGCCGCGGUAAUACGGAGGAUGCGAGCGUUAUCCGGAUUUAUUGGGUUUAAAGGGAGCGCAGACGGGUCGUUAAGUCAGCUGUGAAAGUUUGGGGCUCAACCUUAAAAUUGCAGUUGAUACUGGCGUCCUUGAGUGCGGUUGAGGUGUGCGGAAUUCGUGGUGUAGCGGUGAAAUGCUUAGAUAUCACGAAGAACUCCGAUUGCGAAGGCAGCACACUAAUCCGUAACUGACGUUCAUGCUCGAAAGUGUGGGUAUCAAACAGGAUUAGAUACCCUGGUAGUCCACACGGUAAACGAUGGAUACUCGCUGUUGGCGAUAUACUGUCAGCGGCUUAGCGAAAGCGUUAAGUAUCCCACCUGGGGAGUACGCCGGCAACGGUGCAACUCAAAGGAAUUGACGG
rnacentral:rRNA from 1 species